rnacentral:lncRNA from 1 species
CGUAAAAUUUGAAAACUGGUUUUUUCAAAAACUAUUCAUUGUAAAUGCACAGUUUUGUCUCAGAAUUAUGUUUACUUAUAUUAUUUUUACAAUUCAGUGAUAUUUUCCACUUGUAUCACAUGUUUUGGGAAUAAUUCCUGAACGAGAUUUCAACGAGACUGAAACGUCAGAAGAAUGUAUAUAUCCUUAAGUUGAUUUCAG